GAGGGUGUAGCUCAGUGGUAGAGCAUGUGCUUAGCAUGCACAAGGUCCUGGGUCCAAUCCCCAGUACCGCCA
rnacentral:tRNA from 1 species